CCUCUUUUAUAUUUUUUGCUUAGGGUCUCGCUAAGUUGCUAAGGCUAGCUUUGAACUUACAGUCCUCUUGCCUCUGCCUCCUGACCAUCCUCUGUAUUCUUCACCUCAGAUUCUGUAGUUUUCAUCUCUGUAAGUCUCGCGUCUUUAAAGAGCUGUUUUCCACGUUGCCCACCUUUGUAAAUGUGUGACACAGUUCUGAGCUGUUCAGCAAUGUCUCGUGUAACUCUAGCUGGGAUGUCCUUCUCUGUUGGACUUGCUCAGUCUCCUCAAAGGGCUUGUGUUCCUCUGCUUCUUCGUUGCUUGGUGAUCCUUGGUGACCAGAAGUGGUGCACUUCGCUUGGGCGUCAGACACUCCGUAUUCCUGUGAGUCUCUUGAAGGCUGUUCUGGGCCCAGUGGGCACCAUCAUGGAAGUGGUUUGAUCCUUUCAGUUCUUCCUGUAGGACUUGUCCAAGGGCCUCAGGGAUACCGAGGGCACAUGCACCCCACCUCACAGUGCCCCCCAGAAGGGAAACCCAGGCCUGCGGCAGAGCUGCAGCCCAGGAAGCCCAGACAUGGUGCCAGGGCUGCCCCCGUGAACACGGCCCUGAGAACAGGGCACGUGGCAGGAGCAGGCACGGAGGGCGUGUGAGCCUUGGCCCUCAGCCCCCACUCUCAGACGCAGCGAGUGGAUGAGUGAGGGGCCAUGGAGAGGCUGGGUGAGAGCGGGCGGGUCCUCUAGUGUGGGCCUGUCCCUGCGUCUCUGCUGGCUGGCUUCUCCCCUAGCUGGGCGUGCACGAGGGCACGGCCUGAUACCCAGGGCCCUGGACGGAUGAGCCCCUGGACUUUGAAGGACCGUGGUGUGGUGGAUACUGCCUCCUCUGUGACUUCCCCGCCUCUCCCAGAAGCACCUGGAUGGGCCCUGCCAGGGAACCAGGGGAGGGAGCACAGGAUCUGCAGGGCGGCUGUGCUGGAGCUGCCCAGUCUCCCACACUCCCUGGGCUCUCUGACCCCUGAGAGGGCCUGGGAUCCUGUGUGGACCCUGAGGUCAGAGCCCGCAGGACUGCGCCCCAGAGCUUGGGGCAGGGCCAAGCAGAACAACCCCAGGCAGUCUUCCUCGUGGACCUGUGUGAGCACCGGAGGACGCCAGUCAGCCCCUCCAGGUGGGAUCUGUCAUGCACCGAGGUCAGAGCAGGGCCCUUGGUGGGCAUCCAGAUGGGACAGGGCGUGCAGCAGGGGCUCACGCACCUGAGCCGGGCUCAAGCCACCAGCCCUGCAGGGAACAGCAGGAGCAGGACUGAAGUCCAUUGGCAUGGAAUGAUUUCCACACACAUAUCAGCCUUCAGGGAAAGUCACUCCCAGCAGCAAUGACAGAACAGAUUUAGAACGCAGUGGGGCAGCCAGGACAGUGGCUGGAGGGACCAUCGACGUCACAAGCACAGCUGGGACAACAGGGUCCUGGUGUGGGCUUCCUCGUGACAGCCUCAGAGCCUCCCGAGUUGCUGAGGUUACAGGCGUGCACCACUGGGCAUGGCAAACUUCUCUUCUUUACAACUGAAAGAGCUAGACUCUGAAUGACAGUUGAAAGCAGUGUGGGAAACACUUAGCCAGCAACGGGUGCCCAGCGUCCUCUCCAUGGCCCUGUGUGCCUCUCAGCACUGGCCUGAGUGGCGAGCGUUCGCACCACACCUGGAGCUGCUGCCAUGGCCGUGACGUCACGGGAUGCUGUGGGUUUUGCACACGCCAUCCACCACUGUCCAAGAUGUCGUCCUGUGGCUUAUGACUGCCCUGGUGAGUUGCGCCUUGGGGGCCUGCUCUGUGCUGGACCUGUUCCUGGGCUGGCGGAAGUGAGUGGUGCCCCGCCCCCCAGUCUGCCUUGCUGGGCAGGAGGGAGCAUGCUGGGCAGGCUGGGGACCCCUGGCUCCCUACGCAGGGGCAGGCAGCACAGGUCCCUGGGGUGACCAGGAGGAUGACUUGAGCCCCCAGCCAGCAUGAAAUGGGUGGUGUCCACGCCUCUCUGUCCCUCUCUUGUCUCUAGCUGGGGUCAGACACCGGUCUGCAGGGCCCUGUGUCCCUUAAGUUCCUCCCAGCCUCUGUCUAGACCCAGCUGCUGAUCAGGGUUGGGUGCCCUGAGUCCAGGAAUCCAGGGGGCAGGAGAGACGCCGUCUGGGUGUGGGGCCGAGCACAUUCUGCGGCCGGCUGGUGCGGCAACUGGGGUACAGAUCAGGCCUCUGCCUUGGAGCCUGGGGUGCGCUUGCCUGCAUCAUGGGCAGCUCCCAGGGAGGGCCAGGAACAGGGGCAGCUGUUACUGUGGGGUCAGAGGUCCUGGGUGUGGCCGUCAGCGUCAUCAGUGACCUUCUGGGGGAGUCAGCGGGGAGGAGGGCACAGGGCUGCAGGGUGGGAGUCAGAGUCCUGCCUGGAGAGAGGAGGAAGCCCUGCAGGUGGAGGCGGUGAGGGCCGCACAGCCGGUGGAGCGCCUGGGGCCCUGGACCAGCAUGGAGACAGCAGUGGGGGCAGGUUUCAUGUCAAGUAUAUUUUGCCACAAUAAAAAAAUGUUAAGUUCAUUUUCCUCUUGAUCUACUUUUAGACUGCCAUGUAGCGACUGGCCCUGACCGGAAUGUUCCCUUUGUGCAGGUGGAAAAGCCUAUCAGGUUUAAGCAAAGGGAAAGUUGUUCAUGCUGUCCAGCUCUCGGGAGCUCCUUAAUGUCUUUGAAACGCUCUUGUUCAUUGUGUUUGGAAGUGGAGGUCAGGCACCAGGACUGCCUGGUCCACGGGCCUUGCCAGGUUCCCUUUGGCAACGAAGACCCUGUCUCGCCUGUCUCCCCGGGUGAGUCCGGGGCAGGUGGCCAUGGUCCACUAGCGCCCUUGGCCCUUUAUGCGUGGUCUGCGGCUGCUUCUGAAGGCAGGGUGAGCAGUCACCUCCACCCUCUGCAGGGAAGGUCUGCACCCGGAUCUCCACAGCCCAGACACCACAGAGCCCCAUG